CGGCGAGUGAAGCGGCAUAAGCUCAAAUUUGAAAUCUGGCUCUUUCAGGGUCCGAGUUGUAAUUUGUAGAAGAUGUUUCGGGUGUGGCCCCGGUCUAAGUUCCUUGGAACAGGACGUCAUAGAGGGUGAGAAUCCCGUACGUGACUGGGUGCCUACGUCCAUGUGAAACUCUUUCGACGAGUCGAGUUGUUUGGGAAUGCAGCUCAAAAUGGGUGGUAAAUUUCAUCUAAAGCUAAAUAUUGGCCAGAGACCGAUAGCGCACAAGUAGAGUGAUCGAAAGAUGAAAAGCACUUUGGAAAGAGAGUUAAACAGUACGUGAAAUUGUUGAAAGGGAAGCGCUUGCAAUCAGACUUGCGCCUGGGCGAUCAUCCGAGGUUCUCCCCGGUGCACUCGUUCAGGCUCAGGCCAGCAUCGGUUUCUGUGGUUGGAUAAAGGCCUUGGGAAUGUAGCCCCUCUCGGGGGGUGUUAUAGCCCUCGGUGCAAUGCAGCCUACGGGGACCGAGGACCGCGCUUCGGCUAGGAUGCUGGCGUAAUGGUUGUAAGCGACCCGUCUUGAAACACGGACCAAGGAGUCUAACAUUUGUGCGAGUGUUUGGGUGUCAAACCCAUACGCGUAAUGAAAGUGAACGGAGGUGAGAACCCUUCAGGGUGCAUCAUCGACCGAUCCUGAUGUCUUCGGAUGGAUUUGAGUAAGAGCAUAACUGUUGGGACCCGAAAGAUGGUGAACUAUGCGUGAAUAGGGUGAAGCCAGAGGAAACUCUGGUGGAGGCUCGCAGCGGUUCUGACGUGCAAAUCGAUCGUCAAAUUUGCGUAUAGGGGCGAAAGACUAAUCGAACCAU
rnacentral:rRNA from 1 species